rnacentral:tRNA from 1 species
GCGCCGCUAGCUCAACUGGCAGAGCAGUGGACUCUUAAUCCGCGGGUUGGGGGUUCAAGUCCCUCGCGGCGUACC